rnacentral:rRNA from 1 species
AUUGAACGCUGGCGGCAGGCCUCACACAUGCAAGUCGAACGAAUGGCGGACGGGUGAGUAAUGUCUGGGAAACUGCCCGAUGUAGGGGUAUAACUACUGGAAACGGUCGCUAAUCCCGCAUACCAUCGGAUGUGCCCAGAUGGGAUUAGCUAGUAGGUGGGGUAACGGCUCACCUAGGCGACGAUCCCUAGCUGGUCUGAGAGGAUGACCAGCCACAAUGGAACUGAGACACGGUCCAGACUCCUACGGGAGGCAGCAGUGGGGAAUAUUGCACAAUGGGCGCAAGCCGGAUGCAGCCAUGCCGCGUGUAUGAAGAAGGCCUUCGGGUUGUAAAGUACUUUCAGCGAGGAGGCGUUACUCGCAGAAGAAGCACCGGCUAACUCCGUGCCAGCAGCCGCGGUAAUUC